CAAGUCGAACGGUAACAGGAAACAGCUUGCUGGUUUCGCUGACGAGUGGCGGACGGGUGAGUAAUGUCUGGGAAACUGCCUGAUGGAGGGGGAUAACUACUGGAAACGGUAGCUAAUACCGCAUAACGUCGCAAGACCAAAGAGGGGGACCCUCGGGCCUCUUGCCAUCGGAUGUGCCCAGAUGGGAUUAGCUUGUUGGUGGGGUAACGGCUCACCAAGGCGACGAUCCCUAGCUGGUCUGAGAGGAUGACCAGCCACACUGGAACUGAGACACGGUCCAGACUCCUACGGGAGGCAGCAGUGGGGAAUAUUGCACAAUGGGCGCAAGCCUGAUGCAGCCAUGCCGCGUGUAUGAAGAAGGCCUUCGGGUUGUAAAGUACUUUCAGCGGGGAGGAAGGGAGUAAAGUUAAUACCUUUGCUCAUUGACGUUACCCGCAGAAGAAGCACCGGCUAACUCCGUGCCAGCAGCCGCGGUAAUACGGAGGGUGCAAGCGUUAAUCGGAAUUACUGGGCGUAAAGCGCACGCAGGCGGUUUGUUAAGUCAGAUGUGAAAUCCCCGGGC
rnacentral:rRNA from 1 species